GGGAGGCAACACUCUCUGAUUGCAGCUGGUGGUGCAAGUCCCCAUGAGAGGGGCAUGCUACCCGUAGCGGGUGCUAGGCCCGUAACGCCGCUGGCUGCGCGCGGAGUCGUUGUUCUCCUACGAGUCGGGUUGCUUGGGAGUGCAGCCCAAAGUGGGUGGUAAACUCCACCUAAAGCUAAAUAAGACCGAGAGACCGAUAGCAAACAAGUACCAUGAGGGAAAGUUGAAAAGCACUUUGAAGAGAGAGUUCAAGAGUACGUGAAACCGUUCGGAGGUAAACGGGUGGGGCCUCGAAGUCCGAUGGCGGUGGUGGAUUCAGCCGAGGAAGGGAAUGCACUUUGCAAGUCGCGCCCCACGACGGGGAGGACGGCAAGGUCGAGGACAUACCCAGAAUUGGCGCAUUUCCACGCUCCGCCUGUAGGGCGUCGCAAUGGKUGGAUGGCCGUCGAAAGGAUGAGUUGGAAGGUGCCCGCCUUUUCUCUUGAGGAUUGCGGUGUUUACAGACGACUCUAGUCCCUGGCGGCUGUGUGGCCAUGGUGCCUGCGUUCCCUCCCACCGAAAGGGAGCGGCCGCUGCGCUAAACACUCGAUGCACCAAGGUGCCACCAUGUGGGUGAACCGUGUGUAUUCUUGCGUUUCAGUGUUGGUGUGGGCUGCUGUGGAACUGAAGGUUAGCGGCGAGUAGGUCGGUUACCCACCCGACCCGUCUUGAAACACGGACCAAGGAGUCCAAUGCGCGUGCGAGUUCCCGGGACUUGAUUAGGCCCGAGGGCGCAAUGAAAGUAAAGUUCUCUUGUAGAACGAGUUGGGAUCCAUCCCUUUGGGGGUGGCGCACCAACAGCCCGUCUCGACCGGUUACGGUGGGGCGGAGCUUGAGCACGUGCCUUGGGACCCGAAAGAUGGUGAACUAUGCCUGGGCAGGACGAAGCCA
rnacentral:rRNA from 1 species